rnacentral:lncRNA from 1 species
CCCUGUGUCUUUCUGAAUUUGAAUUUUGAAGAUACUGAGAACCAACAACAAAUCUUGUAAACUUUGUCGACAGCUGGGAGGAUCCAUCUUAUGGUGUUUCGUCAACUAUUCAUAAACAAUUUGGAGUACGAGUUGUUAUGCUGUCCAUCCUGUGGCCAAGGAAGUGAGGAAGUGUCUGAGGAUCACCCAUUUGAAUUCAUGCCAGUCUCUACAGGGUUACUGAUGCCAGCAAUUUAAGGAUCUUUGCAUCCAGUCUCAGUGGUAAGAUCUAAA